rnacentral:rRNA from 1 species
UACGUAGGGGGGCUAGCGUUGUCCGGAAUCAUUGGGCGUAAAGCGCGUGUAGGCGGUCCGGUAAGUCCGCUGUGAAAGUCGAGGGCUCAACCCUCGAAUGCCGGUGGAUACUGUCGGGCUUGAGUACGGGAGAGGCGAGUGGAAUUCCUGGUGUAGCGGUGAAAUGCGCAGAUAUCAGGAGGAACACCAAUGGCGAAGGCAGCUCGCUGGGACGGUACUGACGCUGAGACGCGAAAGCGUGGGGGAGCAAACAGG